rnacentral:rRNA from 1 species
GAUGAACGCUGGCGGCGUGCCUAAUACAUGCAAGUCGAGCGAACGGACGAGAAGCUUGCUUCUCUGAUGUUAGCGGCGGACGGGUGAGUAACACGUGGAUAACCUACCUAUAAGACUGGGAUAACUUCGGGAAACCGGAGCUAAUACCGGAUAAUAUUUUGAACCGCAUGGUUCAAAAGUGAAAGACGGUCUUGCUGUCACUUAUAGAUGGAUCCGCGCUGCAUUAGCUAGUUGGUAAGGUAACGGCUUACCAAGGCAACGAUGCAUAGCCGACCUGAGAGGGUGAUCGGCCACACUGGAACUGAGACACGGUCCAGACUCCUACGGGAGGCAGCAGUAGGGAAUCUUCCGCAAUGGGCGAAAGCCUGACGGAGCAACGCCGCGUGAGUGAUGAAGGUCUUCGGAUCGUAAAACUCUGUUAUUAGGGAAGAACAUAUGUGUAAGUAACUGUGCACAUCUUGACGGUACCUAAUCAGAAAGCCACGGCUAACUACGUGCCAGCAGCCGCGGUAAUACGUAGGUGGCAAGCGUUAUCCGGAAUUAUUGGGCGUAAAGCGCGCGUAGCGGUUUUUUAAGUCUGAUGUGAAAGCCCGCGGCUCAACCGUGGAGGGUCAUUGGAAACUGGAAAGCUUGAGUGCAGAAGAGGAAAGUGGAAUUCCAUGUGUAGCGGUGAAAUGCGCAGAGAUAUGGAGGAACACCAGUGGCGAAGGCGACUUUCUGGUCUGUAACUGACGCUGAUGUGCGAAAGCGUGGGGAUCAAACAGGAUUAGAUACCCUGGUAGUCCACGCCGUAAACGAUGAGUGCUAAGUGUUAGGGGGUUUCCGCCCCUUAGUGCUGCAGCUAACGCAUUAAGCACUCCGCCUGGGGAGUACGACCGCAAGGUUGAAACUCAAAGGAAUUGACGGGGACCCGCACAAGCGGUGGAGCAUGUGGUUUAAUUCGAAGCAACGCGAAGAACCUUACCAAAUCUUGACAUCCUUUGACAACUCUAGAGAUAGAGCUUUCCCCUUCGGGGGACAAAGUGACAGGUGGUGCAUGGUUGUCGUCAGCUCGUGUCGUGAGAUGUUGGGUUAAGUCCCGCAACGAGCGCAACCCUUAAGCUUAGUUGCCAUCAUUAAGUUGGGCACUCUAAGUUGACUGCCGGUGACAAACCGGAGGAAGGUGGGGAUGACGUCAAAUCAUCAUGCCCCUUAUGAUUUGGGCUACACACGUGCUACAAUGGACAAUACAAAGGGCAGCGAAACCGUGAGGUCAAGCAAAUCCCAUAAAGUUGUUCUCAGUUCGGAUUGUAGUCUGCAACUCGACUACAUGAAGCUGGAAUCGCUAGUAAUCGUAGAUCAGCAUGCUACGGUGAAUACGUUCCCGGGUCU